rnacentral:rRNA from 1 species
UACGGAAGGCAGCAGUGGGGAAUAUUGCACAAUGGGCGAAAGCCUGAUGCAGCUAUGCCGCGUGUAUGAAGAAGGCCUUAGGGUUGUAAAGUACUUUCAUCGGGGAGGAAAAACAAAACUAAUAAUUUUAUUUCUUGACGUUACCUGAAAAAGAAGCACCGGCUAACUCCGUGCCAGCAGCCGCGGUAAUACGGAGGGUGCUAGCGUUAAUCAGAAUUACUGGGCGUAAAGAGCACGUAGGUGGUUUUUUUAAGUCAGAUGUGAAAUCCCUGGGCUUAACCUAGGAACUGCAUUUUGAAACUGAAACACUAGAGUAUCGUAGAGGGAGGUAGAAUUCUAGGUGUAGCGGUGAAAUGCGUAGAUAUCUGGAGGAAUACCUGUGGCGAAAGCGGCCUCCUAAACGAAUACUGACACUGAGGUGCGAAAGCGUGGGGAGCAAACAGGGAUUAGAUACC